rnacentral:rRNA from 1 species
GAUGAACGCUGGCGGCGUGCCUAAUACAUGCAAGUCGAGCGAACGGACGAGAAGAUUGUUUCUUUGCUGUUAGCGGCGGACGGGCGAGUAACAAGUGGAUAACCUACCUAUUAGACUGGGAUAACUUCGGGAAACCGUUGCUAAUACCGGAUCAUAUUUUGUACCGCAUGGUUCAAAAGUGCAAGACGGCUUUGCCGUUACUUAUAGCUGGUUUCGCGCUGCAUUAGCUAGUUGGUAAGGUAACGGCUUACCAAGGCAACGAUGCAUAGCUGACCUGAGAGGGUGAUCAGCCACACUGGAACUGAGACACGGUCCAGACUCCUACGGGAGGCAGCAGUGGGGAAUCUUCCACAAUGGGCGAAAGCCUGACGGAGCAACACCGCGUGAGUGAUGAAGGUCUUCGGAUCGUAAAACUCUGUUAUUAGGGAAGAACAGAUGUGUAAGUAACUGUGCACAUCUUGACGGUACCUAAACAGAAAGCCACGGCUAACUACGUG